GGGGAGCUGGAGGAGUAACAUUGCCUGGCCUGAUGACUGCAGUUCCUGUAACACCUAGAGGCCAGGAUAGGAACUAUGGGAGUGGAGGAGGUUCCUUCUGGUCCUGGUUCUUUCAGGUGACUCCAGCGUCUCUUGAUGAAUGAAAUCUGAUUUUUGUGACGAUGUGAAACAAAGUCGAUAGGCCUGAUUCCUGACUAUUUCAAACUUAAAACAGGGUUCAAGCAGGAAGAUUUUGUCAGGAGGAGGAAUCUGUGAUUGCCUAAGAUUAUUAACUGGGUCAUGCUGCCCUUUGGAAGAAAGAAGUGAACAAAAUGUUUGGUAGAUCUCUGUAUUAGCAGAGUACUCUACCAGUUUUUCCCUUUUGAACUUGAUGGUAUGUCCUCAUGGAAAUUGCUGUGGUGCUCUGGAUGCGCAGUUACAGCAUGAAGCAUCUAAACUUUCUUUCAGAGAUGUACUCAAUCUGGGUUCGGUGGGAUAAUUCACAUGCUUAAAGUUAGACAUGUGCUUCAACACUUUUCUGAAUCAUUGCCCUAGACAGUGAGCCACAGAAAGAUGGUUUCACAACCAGGCAGACAGAUUUCAGAGACGUUCUGUUAGCUGCAUUUCAGAAGCACAUUGCCCUUUACACCAAUAACGCUGCUAUAUUUGGAUUCACUUUAAUCACUUGUACAGUAGUCACACAAGAUUCAAGUUUCAACCUGCUUGUUUUGGCUCUAAGAGACAUCACACUGACAGUUUCAUCCAGGCUGGAAAAUUAUCAAGGUUUCACAUAGGACAUGAAAAAGAAAAAGCUAACCAAAUUCUAAGUUUCAUCACAUGAAA